AAAAAAGGUCUUUUCCCCCAGCUGUUUAGAAUCUAGUGCAGGAGAGCCCCUCAUCUGCGGACCAGCGCACUUACAUAGGCUCAUUCUCCGCUUUUGCAAUCCAGGGUGAGGAAAAUGACAAAUUGCAAGUAAGCCAUGGAGAAGGCAUGAUUCCAAAACAUGUCCCCAGCAAUCAUGGAGGUGGAACAAAGCAGCAGCCAUUUACUUCAUGCUACUGUAGGUCUAUUAGGAGGAAAAGAUGUGGGUUUGGCUCAGACAGCUGCGGUGUGCAGUAUAGCAUUCCAGUCCUGUGGCAAGCAGGAGGCCAGAUGUCCACUGCAGAAAGCUGUCCAGAGUCCACUGCUGCCCAGAGGCACACUCUGGAUUUUCAAGAGCAGUGUGGGCUGGUUCUAAUGUUAUAUUUUGGAACAAAAAAAAAGGAAGUCACAAUAAGGUGGCACUGAACAUAAUGAUAUCACAUUAACAUGUCCCCCUCUACCCAACAGUUUUGUCCUCACAUGUCUCUGUUGACCAGCUUACCCUCAAAUGCACAUGCGCUACUACUAACCAGCUUUUCUUUCACAUGGUCUUAAAUCCAGCGUUUCUCUCACAUGCCUACUCUUCCCACAAGCUUGUCACUCACAUGCCUUCCUCUUCCCAUCAGCUUUCCCCUCCAAAGCUCCCUCUUCCCAUAAGUUUGUCACUCACAUACUCCUUCUACCCUCCAGCUUUCCUCUUACAUGCCUUUCCAUCACGUUAUCUCUUUUCAGGAGAUUUCUUCUCACAGGUUCACUCUUCCCACCAGCUUUCUCCUCACAUGCUACCUCUUCACACCAGCUUUUCAUUUACCGUCUCCCUCUUUUUACCAACUUGCCCCAUACAUGCCUUCCUCUACCCAUCAGCUUGUCCCUCACACUGCUGUUCCCUCACAGGCCUUUCCCUUUCCCCCAGAUUUAUCCUCACUUGCUUCCUCUUCCGAAUCACCGCCCCCCAGCUUGUCCUUCAUAUGCUUUCCUCUUUCCACCAGCUUUCCCCUCACAUACCCACUUGUCCAACCAGCUUGCCCGCACAUGCCAUCCUCUACCUGCUAGCUUUCCCCUCAGAAAUCUUCCUCUUCCUAGCAGCUUUCCCCUUCCAGGCCUUCCUCUUCCCACCAACUUUCUCCACACAUGCUCUUUCUUCCAAUCAGCCUGUUCCUCACAUGCCCCUCUGCCUAUAGUUUUCUUUUUCAGAUUCCUCCAGGCGGUCCCACAAAUACUGGCACUCUUGGAAGCUGUCUUUAGAUGUGUAAUGGUAGUGUGGGGUCUGGCUGUUUGGUAAUGUUCUGCUCUUACUAUGUCCAUCUAUUUUGCAGUUGCGAUAAACUGUACUGAAUUAAAAACUGAUCAUAAAGUUAAUUUAAACACCAAUUAGUUUUUAUGUAGAAACAUAGAAUUUGAUAGCACAUAAGAACAAUUUAAACCAUCUAGUCUUUUACUCUAUUUGAUUCAAAGGGUCUAUGUAAUGAGCCUUGGAGAGAGAUAAAGUGGACGGAGAUGAAGUACCAACUAGCCAGCUCCUAAAUGUCAUUUUUCAAGCAAAGGGGCAAAUGUAAGAAGCAUCGGGAUGUAGUUAUGUGACCGAUGGUCAGGAAGGGGGAGGAGGGGGGGGGGGGGGCGGUAUCAGCGCAUGUUAUGUGUGCUAUACCGCUUUCCCCAUGUAAAACUGCUGUGGUGAGUGCACAAUGUGCCCCUGUCCUGCAGCGCUGACCAUUCCGACAGCUGCAAGUGUUAAAUCCAUAACUCCACAGCAGGGGUAGUGAUGUCCCUGGUUGUUGCUGCGAUCAAUUCUGAAUCAGGCCCAAUAUUGCUAAUCCCGAAAGCACCCUUUCCAAGAUACUUGAUAGGAUCGCUUUAUUUGGUUCUACAGUAGAUCCGGCUAUAGCAUUGACAUGGAAAGAUCCACAGCAUUGUAACUCUAUUGUAGGAAAACAUGCCCUCAAUGGGCUGCUAGAUUCUCCUUGCAAUGGACUAAAAUGGAUCUCCAAUAUUUAGGCAUAGUUCUGCCUUGCUCUCCAUUGGAUUGAUAUGGGUGUAAUGUAUAUAAAGGGAUGGGAUCGCCUUCUGCUUUCUGUUCUAGGACAUGCUAAUUUGAUCAGCAAUAAACGUCCUAUGACCUGUUUAAAGGUAUCUUCAUUAUUAUUUGCAAUGGUUAGCCCGUAUCCCCUAGCAUUUUAAAAACGUGUUUCUAUGUGACCCAUGUUCUUGGGCACUUUUCAGGAAAGGACUGAGAUAACUCACUGGACAGGCUUCUAAUGCAGCCAGCACCACAGAGUAGAUCCAUGUUGAUUCAUUAAACUUUUUUAAAGGGACAUACUGGAUCAUUCCAAGAUAACCGGAGGCAUAUCAAAGUGGUUGAUCCAUUUUCCUGUUUUGAAUAUACCUAUAAAAAGCCUUUUCGAGCGCUUGUAAAACGCUAUUAGCUAUUAUGUAUACUAAGCUUAUUUAUUUCACUGUCUAUCAUAAUGCUUAUUUAUCACCACUCGGACGUUUUCAUAUGGGAAACUCUGAGAGCCACUGUUGCCCGAAAUACCACCAGGAGGAAGCAAAUAUUUACCAUUGCCUCUGGGCAGGUCAUAUUUUUUCAAUAUUCUUGGCAUCUUGUUUAUAGAUACACAGAGGCUAAACUCAUAAAUCAUGUUCCCAUUACUUCUGAGUGGGCAAUAUUGGGUGUUUUUGACCCAAAACAAUGAAUGACCCUAGAGAGCAAAAAGCUCUCAUUAGCCUUAAGAACUAUUUUACAAGGUUGUAUCGCCUCAAAUACUCCUUUAUUUAAAAAUAAUUUUUAUUUAGAAUGGAUUGGGUGAAACAGGGAGUAACAGGCAGAAUUGAUAUCUACAUUAGGGGAAUCUCAUGUAGAUACUCUUCCACUAAUAACCAGAGAACAAAUAUAUUUUAUCCUUCGUAAUGCCACCUGGUACACAACCAGAAUAGUAGUGCAAGCUCCACCUGUUUCAUUCAUCUAGCUACCAUGUGAUCAGUGUCUCCCAUCCAGGUUCUCUCAGCCAUGUUUUUCAAACGGUUAUUUAAACUGUUAGCAGUUUAUAUUUUGUAAUUCAGUAUAUAUGUCAUGUUUUCACUGUUUCACGUCAUUUUAUAUUGAUAAGAUAUAUUUAAGUAUGCUCUUGUGAUUGUUGCAUCACCAUAAUUACAACUAAUAGAUUGUAUUACACACUUGUUAUAAAAGAAUAGAUAAGUUUAAUAUGUUUGCACUGUACUGCUGUUAGAUGUAUUAUUUUGUA